rnacentral:rRNA from 1 species
UACGUAGGGGGCAAGCGUUGUCCGGAUUCAUUGGGCGUAAAGAGCGUGUAGGCGGCCAGGUAGGUCGGUUGUGAAAACUGGAGGCUCAACCUUCAGAGGUCGACCGAAACCAUUUGGCUAGAGUCCGGAAGAGGAGAGUGGAAUUCCUGGUGUAGCGGUGAAAUGCGCAGAUAUCAGGAAGAACACCCGUGGCUAAGGCGGCUCUCUAGUACGGUACUGACGCUGAGACGCGAAAGCGUGGGGAGCGAACAGG